GGGCAUCGGGGUAAGCUUGAUGUCCAUAAGGAAAACAAACCAGACCAAAGUUAAGGUCCCUAAGUAAUAGCUAAGUGUUAAAGAACAAAUAGUGUUUAACAGCAUAGACAGCUGGAAGGUUGGCUUAGAGGCAGCCAUCCUUUAAAGAGUUCGUAACAGAUCACCAGUCAAGUUCUUGAGCCUAGAAAAUGGACGGGACUAAGUUGUUCACCGAUACUUUGGGCCACCGAAAGGUGAUGCGGUAGAGAGGCGUCGUGCGCGGGUGGAAGUGGGGCCGUGAGGUCCUGUGGACCGCGUUCGAAUGAUAAUCAUGGAAAUAGUAGUAGCGUAGAUGGGUGAGAAUCCCAUCCGCCGGAGGGGCUAGGGUUCCUCGACGAUGUUCAUCAGUCGAGGGUUAGUCGGUCCUAAGGUUCCCCCUAACAGGAGGAAUCGAAAGGGAAGCAGGUUAAAAUUCCUGCACCAAUUCACAUUUUGUCCAGUUCCUGACACAUCGGGUCUUGUGGAGCACUCCUGUCUGAGUGUUGCCUUAAGCAAUAAAAUUGUGGAGUACCGUAAUGGUGAGAAGCAACCUAAGCUUUUGGGAGGCGAAGUAUUUCGCUUCUGCGUUAGCCUGGUGUCCGUGAAAAGGGAGCUGGAGUCGUGUGAGUUGUCCGUACCGAGAUCUGACACAGGUGCCCCUAGGUGAGUAGCCUAAGGCGUCGCGGCAGAAUCCGGGCGAGGGAAUUCGGCAAAUUAGCCCCGUACCUUUGGUAUAAGGGGUGCCAGCUCUGAAGAGAGCUGGUCGCAGUGACUAGGGAGCUCCGACUGUUUACUAAAAACACAGGUGGCUGCUAGUCCGUAAGGAUGAGUAUAGCCGCUGAAUCCUGCCCAGUGGUGGUAUCUGAAACCCAGUUUCAACUGGACGAAGGACCACUAAACGGCGGGGGUAACUAUGACCCUCUUAAGGUAGCGUAAUACCUUGUCGCUUAAUUGGCGACUUGCACGAACGGCCUAACGAGAGCUCUACUGUCCCCGCCCGGAGCCCGAUGAAAUUGACUUACUGGCGCACAGUCCAGUACGUCCCAGCCGCAAGCGAAGACCCCGUGGAGCUUUACUGCAACCUGCCGUUGUGGCACGAGUUGUUAUGUGUAGCGUAGACGGGAGACAUUACACAGGUGCGAGCGCUAGCUCGUCGCCGAGUCACCGAUGAAACACCGUCCUUUUCGAUUCGUCCCACUCACCUCUUCGGAGGAACCCCGGUAGGCGGGCAGUUUGGGUGGGGCGCCACUCCCUCGAAAAAAUAACAAGGGAGCCCAAAGGUCAGCUUAGGUAGGUCAGGAAUCUACCGUUAAGUGCAAGGGCAAAAGCUGGCUUGACGUGGUUUGGCAACACAACAAACCACGAUGCGAAAGCAGGGCCUAGCGAACCAACCAGCGCCGUUAGUAGGUGCGGUUGAUAACAGAAAAGUUACCCCGGGGAUAACUGAGUUGUCUGGAGCAAGAGCCCACAUCGACCUCCAGGCUUGCUACUUCGAUGUCGUCUCUUCCUAUCCUGGGUGUGCAGAAGCACCCAAGGGUGGGGUUGUUCGCCCAUUAAAAGGGAUCGUGAGAUGGGUUUAGACCGUCGUGAGACAGGUUUGUUGCUAUGUGCUGGGACUGUCCAAUGCCUGAGGGGAAGGAUCCUCUAGUACGAGAGGAACGAGGGUUCGCAGCCACUAGUUUACCAGUUGUCUGACAAGGCACUGCUGGGCAGCCACGCUGUAAGGGAUAAGAGCUGAAAGCAUCUAAGCUCGAAACCCGCCUCAAAACGAGGCAUUAUGACACUUAUAGAAGAUAAGAUAGAUAGGACCGGGGUGUAAGCACCGAGAGCAUCAGUGCUGUUAGAAACACUACUUCGGUAGUGCGGAAGAUAGCAC
rnacentral:rRNA from 1 species